UGAUGUGAGGGCGAUCUGGCUGCGACAUCUGUCACCCCAUUGAUCGCCAGGGUUGAUUCGGCUGAUCUUGUCCCCCCCUCCCCGCUCCAUGUGCGUCCCUCCCGAAGCUGCGCGCUCGGUCAAGGAGGACGACCUUCCCCGAUAGAGACGUACCGUUCAUCGAUUCUA
rnacentral:snRNA from 1 species